GCUUGGCUGGCUCGGUCGGUAGAGCAUGUGACUCUUGAUCGCAGGGUCGUGAGUUCAAGCCCCACGUUGGGUG
rnacentral:tRNA from 1 species